GCGUGCGACUUAUAGUUGAGUUUCCAGUGGUUGAUCCAGAAUUAUUCGCACGUUAGUUUGGUGUCGAGUUUCUUGAUAGUGCGACCGCGAUUUAUUCAGUGCGACCGUGAAGUGGAAUUUUUCAAGAGGGAUCAAUGAAUAAGCUAAAUCUCGGCUACCUUGUGUUAAAUUUGACUCCUAUCUACUCGUAACUGGUACUCACAACUCGUAACCUGUAUCAUACUCUCCUAACCUAACACUUUAAAAACAAGCGAUUCAAUUGUGUUUACGUACUGCGAAUCAGCCGAAUUCGGAUCAUCAGUUUAACCCGAUCUUUUUUGAAAAUCGGAAGGACUUGAUUUUUACAAAAAUUAUAUGGAAUUUUUUUUAAAAUUCUAAUUUCUUUAAAGAGUGAAAGACAACCAAAAUUUUGACCAACAUUAUAAUCAAUGUCAUUCCCUCGCUGUGUAAUUUAAAGGCGGACAGCACAGGAAACCCGUAAUUUUCAAAGAAAUUUAACAUAAAUUCUCAUUAGUGCGUCUUUUACCUGUGUUUAAGCGCGGUUGCCAGUGCUGCGUAAAAUCGGAUCGUUUCUGGGCAUUUGUGAUCCGCAGGGUGCGGGAACGAAUCAAGAAUCAACAGGAAACGCCGACGCGGUUAGCUCAUCAAGUGUGCUAUCUGAAAUAUGUGCACUUUUUGAAGAAAAGUCCAAAAUUGCCGAGAUGCCGUAAAGACAUGUUUUUUACAAAACUAAAACGGCUCAUGAUCGGGGAACCGUGCUCCAAAAAGAUAUCACAAGGAAAUUCUGGUGAGUAAUUGAUGAAGCAAAUCUUAACGACGCACAAUGGAUCGAAUCAAUAGGAGAAGUCGGACAACGUUUGGAAACUUUAAACGCUCAUAACUCCGUUUAUACAAGACUUUGGGGUUCUGAAAGUGACUCCAUUGGUUUCCUCGUGAAAUUUUCUACUGAUAGCACCUCUUGAAAUUAAAAAUGUGACGAAAGAAACAUCAAAAUUUGCAGUUUUAGUCAAAAAUUUCAUGUCCAACCUCUCUAAUUGACUCGACCUACUCUGCGACGUGUGCAAACUUUGUGAAAUAGGGCAGCAGCCACGUUCUUCAGUUUCAUUACUUACUUCAACACUACUUAUUGAAGGAAUUAAUGAAUUUAUGAGUCCGCUCUCAAAUUAUAAACUUCAAUGACCUUAAUAUAAAACACGAAUCAAUAGGCUAUGGAACAGAAUCUAACAUUUGAAACAGGUCAGCAUUAUUUGGG
rnacentral:lncRNA from 1 species